AUGGACACAACGAGAUCCUACCGUGCUGCCACCACCGCUCCAAGCUACUUCGCCUUGGCCUCCUGCUGCGGUGGCCAAUCCAGUCCCGAAUCCUUAAUAUGCCUGGUCUCUGGCUACUUCCCUGAGCCCGUCACUGUGAAAUGGAAUGGUGGCAAAUUCACCAAGGACAUCAGGAACUACCCUUCAGUGCUGGACUCCUCCAGUGGGCUCUAUACCAUGACCAGCCAGCUCACCGUGCCAGUUGGGCAGACCAUGCCCCACGAAUGCACUGUGAUCCAUGAGCCAAGCAGCUUUCAAGGCACAAAGAAAAUUGAAUCCUGCGAGAGAAAGAUCGUACCCCCCGAAAUCGAGUUGCUCCACUCCUCCUGCAGCAUCAGGCCUGGCGAGCAGCACAUCCAGCUGGUGUGCAUAGUCUCUGGUUUCUCUCCUGCCUCAAUCACCGUGGAAUGGCUGGUAGAUGGCAAACCUGGGCAUGUUGUCUAUACUGAUGGCGACACCCACCGGGAUGAAGACCGCACCUACCGCCUUGAAAGUCGAGCCAAUGUCACCGAGGAAGAAUGGAUAGAGGGGAAGACCUACACAUGCCGCGUGAAUCACCCUGCGAGUGGGACCCUGGUGCAAGCCCAUGCCCGGAGAUGCCAAGGCCCCGAUCCACACUCAGGUCCUAUCCAAGUCUACAUGUUGGCCCCAAGCCCCGCAAGCCUGUAUGUGGGUCAGGCCCCAAAGCUGACCUGCAAGAUCGUCAACCUGCCUAGCGACUCGGGGCUUAAGGUCACCUGGUCCCGAGAGAAGCAAGGGUCUGUGGCCCCUGAACCCCUGGAGUUGAUGGAGCAGUUCAACGGCACCUACACUGCCACCAGCUCCCUGGUCAUCAUCACCCAAGACUGGGAGUCAGAAGAGAAAUUCACCUGCAGAGUGGAACAUAGUGAUAUGCCUACAUCUUUGGCCAAGUCCAUCUCCUGGAAAAAAGGCAAACAGCAGUCCCCAAAAAUCUACGUCCUGCCCCCCCACCAUGAGGAGCUCACAAACAACGAAGACUUUGUCAGCAUCACCUGCAUGGUCCUUGACUUCAUUCCUGAGGCAAUCUCCAUACAGUGGCUGCAGAACCACAUUGCUGUAAAAGAGGACCAGUACGUGAACACUCCAGUCAUUGAAGAGCCAGCCGGGGACUCAUACUUCAUGUACAGCAAGUUAAAAGUUAGCAAGGUUAGCUGGAAUAACGGAGAAACCUCUACCUGCAUGGUCAUCCAUGAAAGUCUCCCGAUGAAGUUCACCCAGCGCUCAAUCCAGAAAACCCCUGGGGCAGAUGUGUCUGAUGAGCUGUGCCUUGAUGAAGACGAUAGGGAGCUGAAUGGUCUCUGGGCCACCAUCUCUGUCUUCAUCACCCUCUUCCUCCUGAGUGUGUGCUACAGUGCCACCGUGACCCUGUUCAAGGUUAAGUGGCUCUUCUCCACUGUCAUGCAGCUCAAGCAGGCACGUGGUCCUGUCUACAAAAAUGUGAUCAAAGAUGCAGUAUAA